rnacentral:rRNA from 1 species
UACGGGGGGGGUAAGCGUUGUUCGGAAUUACUGGGCGUAAAGGGCUCGUAGGCGGCCAACUAAGUCAUACGUGAAAGCCCCCGGCUCAACUGGGGAGGGUCACGCGAUACUGAUCGACUCGAAGGCAGGAGAGGGUAGUGGAAUUCCCGGUGUAGUGGUGAAAUGCGUAGAUAUCGGGAGGAACACCAGUGGCGAAGGCGACUACCUGGCCUGUUCUUGACGCUGAGGCGCGAAAGCUAGGGGAGCAAACGGG